UAGGGAAUCUUCGGCAAUGGACGGAAGUCUGACCGAGCAACGCCGCGUGAGUGAAGAAGGUUUUCGGAUCGUAAAGCUCUGUUGUAAGAGAAGAACGAGUGUGAGAGUGGAAAGUUCACACUGUGACGGUAUCUUACCAGAAAGGGACGGCUAACUACGUGCCAGCAGCCGCGGUAAUACGUAGGUCCCGAGCGUUGUCCGGAUUUAUUGGGCGUAAAGCGAGCGCAGGCGGUUAGAUAAGUCUGAAGUUAAAGGCUGUGGCUUAACCAUAGUACGCUUUGGAAACUGUUUAACUUGAGUGCAAGAGGGGAGAGUGGAAUUCCAUGUGUAGCGGUGAAAUGCGUAGAUAUAUGGAGGAACACCGGUGGCGAAAGCGGCUCUCUGGCUUGUAACUGACGCUGAGGCUCGAAAGCGUGGGGAGCAAACAGGAUUAGAUACCCUGGUAGUCCACGCCGUANCGAUGAGUGCUAGGUGUUAGACCCUUUCCGGGGUUUAGUGNCGCANCUAACGCAUUAAGCACUCCGCCUGGGGAGUACNACCGCAAGGNU
rnacentral:rRNA from 1 species